UAAUUUGAGAGUUUGAUCCUGGCUCAGGACGAACGCUGGCGGCGUGCCUAAUACAUGCAAGUCGAACGAACUCUGGUAUUGAUUGGUGCUUGCAUCAUGAUUUACAUUUGAGUGAGUGGCGAACUGGUGAGUAACACGUGGGAAACCUGCCCAGAAGCGGGGAUAACACCUGGAAACAGAUGCUAAUACCGCAUAACAACUUGGACCGCAUGGUCCGAGUUUGAAAGAUGGCUUCGGCUAUCACUUUUGGAUGGUCCCGCGGCGUAUUAGCUAGAUGGUGAGGUAACGGCUCACCAUGGCAAUGAUACGUAGCCGACCUGAGAGGGUAAUCGGCCACAUUGGGACUGAGACACGGCCCAAACUCCUACGGGAGGCAGCAGUAGGGAAUCUUCCACAAUGGACGAAAGUCUGAUGGAGCAACGCCGCGUGAGUGAAGAAGGGUUUCGGCUCGUAAAACUCUGUUGUUAAAGAAGAACAUAUCUGAGAGUAACUGUUCAGGUAUUGACGGUAUUUAACCAGAAAGCCACGGCUAACUACGUGCCAGCAGCCGCGGUAAUACGUAGGUGGCAAGCGUUGUCCGGAUUUAUUGGGCGUAAAGCGAGCGCAGGCGGUUUUAAGUCUGAUGUGAAAGCCUUCGGCUCAACCGAAGAAGUGCAUCGGAAACUGGGAAACUUGAGUGCAGAAGAGGACAGUGGAACUCCAUGUGUAGCGGUGAAAUGCGUAGAUAUAUGGAAGAACACCAGUGGCGAAGGCGGCUGUCUGGUCUGUAACUGACGCUGAGGCUCGAAAGUAUGGGUAGCAAACAGGAUUAGAUACCCUGGUAGUCCAUACCGUAAACGAUGAAUGCUAAGUGUUGGAGGGUUUCCGCCCUUCAGUGCUGCAGCUAACGCAUUAAGCAUUCCGCCUGGGGAGUACGGCCGCAAGGCUGAAACUCAAAGGAAUUGACGGGGGCCGCACAAGCGGUGGAGCAUGUGGUUUAAUUCGAAGCUACGCGAAGAACCUUACCAGGUCUUGACAUACUAUGCAAAUCUAAGAGAUUAGACGUUCCCUUCGGGGACAUGGAUACAGGUGGUGCAUGGUUGUCGUCAGCUCGUGUCGUGAGAUGUUGGGUUAAGUCCCGCAACGAGCGCAACCCUUAUUAUCAGUUGCCAGCAUUAAGUUGGGCACUCUGGUGAGACUGCCGGUGACAAACCGGAGGAAGGUGGGGAUGACGUCAAAUCAUCAUGCCCCUUAUGACCUGGGCUACACACGUGCUACAAUGGAUGGUACAACGAGUUGCGAACUCGCGAGAGUAAGCUAAUCUCUUAAAGCCAUUCUCAGUUCGGAUUGUAGGCUGCAACUCGCCUACAUGAAGUCGGAAUCGCUAGUAAUCGCGGAUCAGCAUGCCGCGGUGAAUACGUUCCCGGGCCUUGUACACACCGCCCGUCACACCAUGAGAGUUUGUAACACCCAAAGUCGGUGGGGUAACCUUUUAGGAACCAGCCGCCUAAGGUGGGACAGAUGAUUAGGGUGAAGUCGUAACAAGGUAGCCGUAGGAGAACCUGCGGCUGGAUCACCUCCUUU
rnacentral:rRNA from 1 species